CCUACGGGAGGCAGCAGUGGGGGAUAUUGCACAAUGGGGGAAACCCUGAUGCAGCGACGCCGCGUGGGUGAAGAAGCGCCUCGGCGCGUACAGCCCUGUCAGCAGGGAAGAAAAUGACGGUACCUGAAGAAGAAGCCCCGGCUAACUACGUGCCAGCAGCCGCGGUAAUACGUAGGGGGCAAGCGUUAUCCGGAUUUAUUGGGUGUAAAGGGGGCGCAGACGGCGAUGCAAGCCAGGAGUGAAAACCCGGGGCCCAACCCCGGGACUGCGCUUGGAACUGCGUGGCUAGAGUGCAGGAGGGGCAGGCGGAAUUCCUGGUGGAGCGGUGAAAUGCGUAGAUAUCAGGAGGAACACCGGUGGCGAAGGCGGCCUGCUGGACUGCAACUGACGUUGAGGCCCGAAAGCGUGGGGAGCAAACAGGAUUAGAUACCCUUGUAGUC
rnacentral:rRNA from 1 species